CCGGCGGUCUCUCAAAUAAUUGUUUCGAGUAACUGACGUUGAUAGGCGUUGCUCUAUCAAUAGCCAAGAUCAAACACCGCGAGUUCAAAACCUGAGAUUUACCGUCCCCAGUGGUCAUAUUACUUUUUCCAUCUGGCGGCCUCGAUUAACCAUGUUUUUUGGCCAUUUCAUACUUGAUUUCUCCUUUGAUGGCUACGAUUUUCGAUGCACUUUCAUCUUACCUAGGGCAUUAAUUAGCGCAUUAAUUAUUGCCGUCAUCUCGUCAUCAUGAAAACCUAUUUCAAAACUCUCUUCAACAACUUCAUCUUCCUUGUUCCUUUUCUCGACGCUUCCUCUUUGACUCUUCCUCCCUUCCAAAGUCUUUCUUCUCUAAUGGCU
rnacentral:lncRNA from 1 species